rnacentral:rRNA from 1 species
AGUCGUAACAAGGUUUCCGCAGGUGAACCUGCGGAAGGAUCAUUAACGAGUAUUGAAAUGGGUUGUCGCUGGCCUCUCGGGGCAUGUGCACACUCAUCACUCUUCCACUCACACCUGUGCAUCUUUGUAGUCUAUUUCUCCUAUAUGUCUGGAGGCCAUUUGCGUGGUCAAUAGUCUGGGGGGGAAUCGUCUACUAUUUUAUACAUACGCUUCAGUUUAGAAUGUCAUUACUUGCUAUAAAACGCAUUUAAAUACAACUUUCAACAACGGAUCUCUUGGCUCUCGCAUCGAUGAAGAACGCAGCGAAAUGCGAUAAGUAAUGUGAAUUGCAGAAUUCAGUGAAUCAUCGAAUCUUUGAACGCACCUUGCGCUCUUUGGUAUUCCGAAGAGCAUGCCUGUUUGAGUGUCAUGAAUCUCUCAACUCCCAGAGUCUGUAAUACGACAAUGGGAGCUUGGACUUGGAGGCUUUGCCGGCAUUGACUUGUUGGCUCCUCUUAAAUAUAUUAGCUAUGGAUCACGAUGUGAGGUCUAAAGUGUGAUACAUGUCUACGCUAUAGAUUUUUGCAAUAGUUACCGCUCUGUCAAAGGAGUAGUGUUCUUUACUGAACCGUGUGAUGAGUGAAUACAAAGCUUCUAACCGUCCUUCCGGGACAAUAUUCAUUUUUGACAUCUGACCUCAAAUCAGGUAGGACUACCCGCUGAACUUAAGCAUAUCAAUAAGCGGAGGAAAAGAAACUACAAGGAUUCCCUAGUAACUGCGAGUGAAGCGGGAAAAGCUCAAAUUUAAAAUCUGGCAUUCUUCGAGUGUCCGAGUUGUAUUCUGGAGAAGUGUUUUCCGCGUUGGACUGUGUACAAGUUUCUUGGAACAGAACAUCAUAGAGGGUGAGAAUCCCGUCUUUGACACAGACUACCAAUGCUUUGUGAUGCGCUCUCAAAGAGUCGCGUUGUUUGGGAAUGCAGCGCAAAAUGGGUGGUAUAUUCCAUCUAAAGCUAAAUAUUGGCGAGAGACCGAUAGCGAACAAGUACCGUGAGGGAAAGAUGAAAAGCACUUUGGAAAGAGAGUUAAACAGUACGUGAAAUUGUUGAAAGGGAAACGAUUGAAGUCAGUCGCGUCUUAUGAGACUCAGCCUUGCUUUUGCUUGGUGUAUUUCUUGUAUGACGGGCCAGCAUCAAUUUUGACCGUUGGAUAAAGUUGGAGGGAAUGUGGCACCUUCGGGUGUGUUAUAGCCUUUCUUCGCAUACAACGAUUGGGAUUGAGGUUCGCAGCACGCCUUUAUGGCCGGGGUUCGCCCACGUACGUGCUUAGGAUGCUGGCGUAAUGGCUUUAAACGACC